rnacentral:tRNA from 4 species
GCCCGCAUAGCUCAACUGGAAGAGUGUCGGUUUCCGGAGCCGAAGGUUGCAGGUUCGAACCCUGCUGUGGGUA